AGUGAACGCUGGCGGUAGGCCUAACACAUGCAAGUCGAACGGCAGCACAGUAAGAGCUUGCUCUUACGGGUGGCGAGUGGCGGACGGGUGAGGAAUACAUCGGAAUCUACUUUUUCGUGGGGGAUAACGUAGGGAAACUUACGCUAAUACCGCAUACGACUUACGGGUGAAAGCAGGGGAUCUUCGGACCUUGCGCGAUUGAAUGAGCCGAUGUCGGAUUAGCUAGUUGGCGGGGUAAAGGCCCACCAAGGCGACGAUCCGUAGCUGGUCUGAGAGGAUGAUCAGCCACACUGGAACUGAGACACGGUCCAGACUCCUACGGGAGGCAGCAGUGGGGAAUAUUGGACAAUGGGCGCAAGCCUGAUCCAGCCAUACCGCGUGGGUGAAGAAGGCCUUCGGGUUGUAAAGCCCUUUUGUUGGGAAAGAAAAGCAGCAGGUUAAUACCCCGCUGUUCUGACGGUACCCAAAGAAUAAGCGCCGGCUAACUUCGUG
rnacentral:rRNA from 1 species